UGGGGAAUUUUGGACAAUGGGGGCAACCCUGAUCCAGCCAUCCCGCGUGUGCGAUGAAGGCCUUCGGGUUGUAAAGCACUUUUGGCAGGGAAGAAACAGCCUGGGCUAAUAUCCCGGGCGACUGACGGUACCUGCAGAAUAAGCACCGGCUAACUACGUGCCAGCAGCCGCGGUAAUACGUAGGGUGCAAGCGUUAAUCGGAAUUACUGGGCGUAAAGCGUGCGCAGGCGGUUCGGAAAGAAAGGUGUGAAAUCCCAGGGCUUGACCUCGGAACUGCACUUUUAACUACCGGGCUAGAAUACGGCAGAGGGGGGUAGAAUUCCACGUGUAGCAGGGAAAUGCGUAGAGAUGUGGAGGAAUACCGAUGGCGAAGGCAGCCCCCUGGGAUGAUACUGACGCUCAUGCAC
rnacentral:rRNA from 1 species